rnacentral:rRNA from 1 species
GCUUAACACAUGCAAGUCGAGCGGGGGAAGGUAGCUUGCUACCGGACCUAGCGGCGGACGGGUGAGUAAUGCUUAGGAAUCUGCCUAUUAGUGGGGGACAACAUCUCGAAAGGGAUGCUAAUACCGCAUACGUCCUACGGGAGAAAGCAGGGGAUCUUCGGACCUUGCGCUAAUAGAUGAGCCUAAGUCGGAUUAGCUAGUUGGUGGGGUAAAGGCCUACCAAGGCGACGAUCUGUAGCGGGUCUGAGAGGAUGAUCCGCCACACUGGGACUGAGACACGGCCCAGACUCCUACGGGAGGCAGCAGUGGGGAAUAUUGGACAAUGGGCGCAAGCCUGAUCCAGCCAUGCCGCGUGUGUGAAGAAGGCCUUAUGGUUGUAAAGCACUUUAAGCGAGGAGGAGGCUACUUUAGAUAAUACCUAGAGAUAGUGGACGUUACUCGCAGAAUAAGCACCGGCUAACUCUGUGCCAGCAGCCGCGGUAAUACAGAGGGUGCAAGCGUUAAUCGGAUUUACUGGGCGUAAAGCGCGCGUAGGCGGCUAAUUAAGUCAAAUGUGAAAUCCCCGAGCUUAACUUGGGAAUUGCAUUCGAUACUGGUUAGCUAGAGUGUGGGAGAGGAUGGUAGAAUUCCAGGUGUAGCGGUGAAAUGCGUAGAGAUCUGGAGGAAUACCGAUGGCGAAGGCAGCCAUCUGGCCUAACACUGACGCUGAGGUGCGAAAGCAUGGGGAGCAAACAGGAUUAGAU